rnacentral:rRNA from 1 species
CCUACGGGAGGUAGCAGUGGGGAAUAUUGGGCAAUGGAGGCAACUCUGACCCAGCAACGCCGCGUGAAUGAUGAAGGUCUUCGGAUUGUAAAGUUCUGUGAUGGGGGAUGAACACAAUGACGGUACCCCAAUAGCAAGCCACGGCUAACUACGUGCCAGCAGCCGCGGUAAUACGUAGGUGGCAAGCGUUAUCCGGAAUGACUGGGCGUAAAGGGUGCGUAGGGGGUUUAGUAAGUUGGCGGUGUAAUUCCGGGGCUCAACCUCGGCGCUACCGCCAAAACUAUUAGACUAGAGUGCAGGGGGGGUAAGUGGAAUUCCUAGUGUAGCGGUGGAAUGCGUAGAUAUUAGGAGGAACAUCAGGGGCGAAGGCGACUUACUGGACUGUAACUGACACUGAGGCACGAAAGCGUGGGGAGCAAACAGGAUUAGAUACCCCUGUAGUC